CUUGGUCAUUUAGAGGAAGUAAGGAUAGUCUCGUUGGUGACCAGCGGAGGGAUCAUU
rnacentral:rRNA from 1 species